rnacentral:rRNA from 1 species
GCCAUUAUGGCCGGGGUACCAUAUUUUUCUUUGAGUUUGAUGAUGGCUCUGAUUGAACGCUGUCCAAGUACUUGACACAUGCUAAUCGUACGACUAAUUAGUUAAUUAUUAACUAAGUAGUAGUGGUGUACAGGUGAGUAAAAGAUAAUUUGGCUACCUUAAAGUAAGGGGAAAAUCCCUUAUAUAAAGAAAGGAAAUAAAGGUCUGCUUUAAGAUGUUAUUCUUUAUCUCGGUGAGUAGUAGGAAAGGGAAUGUCUUUUCUAGCUAACAUCCGUAGUCGUGACUGAGAGGUCGAUCGACCACAUUGGGUCUGAAAAAACCCCAAUGCGUAUUAGUACCAGCCAUUGAGGGAAUAUUUGGUCAAUGGCCUAACNGGGUGAACCCAGUAACUUGGGAAGAAUGAAAAUUGUUUUA